rnacentral:rRNA from 1 species
GGUGUAGGCGGCCAAGUAAGUCUGAUGUGAAAUCCCUCGGCUUAACCGAGGAAGUGCAUCAGAAACUGCUUGGCUUGAGUAUGGGAGAGGAAGGCGGAAUUCCCGGUGUAGCGGUGACAUGCGUAGAUAUCGGGAGGAACACCUGUGGCGAAGGCGGCCUUCUGGCCCAAUACUGACGCUGAGACCCGAAAGCGUGGGGAGCAAACAGGAUUAGAUACCCUGGUAGUCCACGCCGUAAACGUUGGGUACUAGGUGUGGGAGGUUUAAUACCUUCUGUGCCGCAGCUAACGCAUUAAGUACCCCGCCUGGGGAGUACGGUCGCAAGAUUAAA